CUUAUGCCGGCGACCGGCGGACGGGUGCGUAACGCGUAUGUAACCUACCUUUGACGGGGGGAUAACAUCGAGAAAUUGGUACUAAUACCCCAUAACAUCACCGGAGGCAUCUUCGGUGGUUGAAAACUCAGGUGGUCAGAGAUGGACAUGCGUUGUAUUAGCUAGUUGGUGAGGUAACGGCUCACCAAGGCGACGAUACAUAGGGGGACUGAGAGGUCAACCCCCCCACAUUGGUACUGAGACACGGACCAAACUCCUACGGGAGGCAGCAG
rnacentral:rRNA from 1 species